AAUAAGUACAGUUUUGCACUAUUUACGUUUAACAUUUGACCUUUCGUCUUAUUUGAAAUUUUUUUAUGAUUAGUAUUUUUAUUGUUAUUAGAUGAUAAAAUAUGAACAGUACUUUAUGUGUGACUAAAUAUUUUUAAUUUUUUCACAAAUUUUUCAAAUAAGACGGACGGUCAAACGUUGGUCACGACUAUCCACAGCUACACUUAUU
rfam:Oryza sativa Japonica Group DNA, chromosome 11, cultivar: Nipponbare, complete sequence.